UUUUAUUUUAUGAAUUGAGCUUAAAGUGAAUUUGAUUUUUCUAAGAAAAGUUAGAAGUUUUCCUAAAGACGAGAAGACCCCAAAAUCUUUAUUUUAAUUUAUAGGAUUUAAUUUUUAUUUGGGGGAAAGAUUGAUUUUUAUUUAUUGUUUUAUUAUUCGAACUUUUUUUUAGGGUGUAUGGAUAGAUACUUUGGGGGUAACAGGAUUAUUUUCUUUUGAAGUUCUUAUUUUAGGGGAAGUUUAUUACCUCGAUGUUGGCUUUUGAUUUUAGUUGGGGGUAGCUUUUCAAACUAAUAGUCUGUUCGACUAUUAAAAGAGAA
rnacentral:rRNA from 1 species